UACGGGGGAUGCAAGCGUUAUCCGGAAUUAUUGGGCGUAAAGCGUCCGCAGGUGGCUAAUCAAGUCUGCUGUCAAAGGUUGGGGCUUAACCCCAAAAAGGCAGUGGAAACUGAGAAGCUAGAGUGCAGUAGGGGUAGAGGGAAUUCCCGGUGUAGCGGUGAAAUGCGUAUAGAUCGGGAAGAACAUCGGUGGCGAAAGCGCUCUACUGGACUGCAACUGACACUCAGGGACGAAAGCUAGGGGAGCGAAUGGG
rnacentral:rRNA from 1 species